rfam:Ovis aries breed Texel chromosome 5, whole genome shotgun sequence.
UCCCUGGUGGCUCAGGUUAAAGCGUCUGCCUGCAAUGCGGAAGCCCUGGGUUCAAUUCCUGGGUCGGGAA